rnacentral:lncRNA from 1 species
CUUCUUCCUCCUUCUCCUUCUCCUUCUUCUUCUCCUUCUCCUUCNNNNNNNNNNCAAGGAGAAGGAGCUCCUCCUUUCGCUUCUUCUUCCUCCUUCUUCCUCCUUCUCCUUCUCCUUCUUAUUCUCCUUCUCCUUCUUCUUUUCUUCUUCUUCUCCUCUUCCUUCUUCUNNNNNNNNNNAAAAUGACAUAAUUAGCUUAGUUAGCUCCAAAAUGUCCUAUUUAAUUAAAAAUGACCUAUACUUAGCUAAUUAUCCUCGAAAUGACAUAAUUAGGUCCAAAAAGGCAUUCUUAGCCAAUUUAGCCCGAAGAAGGGGACAAGAAGAGAAAAAGAGGAAAAUGAAAGGAAGGAAGAGGAAAAAGGAGAAGAAGAAGGAGGAGAGGGAGGAGGAGAAGAAGAAGGAGAAGAAGGAGGAGAAGGAGAAGGAGCUCCUCCUUCUCCUUCUUCUUCCUCGUUCUUCCUCCUUCACCUUCUCCUUCUUCUUCUCCUUCUCCUUCUUCUUUUCUUUUUCUUCUCCUCUUCCUUCUUCUUCUCCUCCUCCUCCUCCUCCUCCUCCNNNNNNNNNNUUCUUCCACGUAGCUUAGACUUAUCCAAGAAAGGCUAAAUUGGCUAAUUAUCCUACGAAAUGACGUAAUUAGCUUAGUUAGCUCCAAAAUGGCCUAUUUAAUAAAAAAGACCUAUACUUAGCUAAUUAUCCUCGAAAUGACAUAAUUAGCUCCAAAAAGGC